rnacentral:lncRNA from 1 species
GAAAGCAGUCUGUGUGGAGAGAUUGAAAUGCAUUUCAAAGCCAGGCCUGACUAGGGGGGCACGGAGAACAGACCUAUGAGCGUUCCCUAGGAAGGGAAAAAAGUGAAUGGAGAAUGGGAGAGAAGCGGGAGCUGUGGACCGGGUGUUGAAGUUACCGUGGCUCUGUGGACUCAGUCGUCUCCAGUGGGGCCGAAGUUGGACGUCUCGCUGUCCAGGAGACUGAGCGGUCUGAGCAGGGAAAGUUUGGAGCUCCGCGUGAUUGGAAAGAAUGAAGAUUUCUUCUCACCAACCCCUCUUCACCCGUCGGAGCCAGAAGGAUGUGUGGAUAGACGGCUUAAGAACAGUUGUGCUUGAUGGCCCUGUGUCUUGAGGUCCUUCAUUGUCAGUCUAAGUAGGACACACCUACCCGAG